CCUACGGGAGGCAGCAGUGAGGAAUAUUGGUCAAUGGGCGAGAGCCUGAACCAGCCAAGUCGCGUGAAGGAUGACGGCCCUGCGGGUUGUAAACUUCUUUUGUCAGGGAGCAAUUGGGUCCACGCGUGGGCUUAGCGAGAGUACCUGACGAAAAAGCAUCGGCUAACUCCGUGCCAGCAGCCGCGGUAAUACGGGGGAUGCGAGCGUUAUCCGGAUUUAUUGGGUUUAAAGGUUGCGUAGGCGGAAUAUCAAGUCAGCGGUAAAAAUUCGGGGCUCAACCCCGUCGAGCCGUUGAAACUGAUGGUCUUGAGUGGGCGAGAAGUAUGCGGAAUGCGUGGUGUAGCGGUGAAAUGCAUAGAUAUCACGCAGAACCCCGAUUGCGAAGGCAGCAUACCGGCGCCCAACUGACGCUGAAGCACGAAAGCGUGGGUAUCGAACAGGAUUAGAUACCCCAGUAGUC
rnacentral:rRNA from 1 species